rnacentral:rRNA from 1 species
ACACGUGAGCAAUCUGCCCCUGACUCUGGGAUAAGCGCUGGAAACGGCGUCUAAUACCGGAUACGAGCUGCGACCGCAUGGUCAGUAGCUGGAAAGAAUUUCGGUCAGGGAUGAGCUCGCGGCCUAUCAGCUUGUUGGUGAGGUAAUGGCUCACCAAGGCGUCGACGGGUAGCCGGCCUGAGAGGGUGACCGGCCACACUGGGACUGAGACACGGCCCAGACUCCUACGGGAGGCAGCAGUGGGGAAUAUUGCACAAUGGGCGCAAGCCUGAUGCAGCAACGCCGCGUGAGGGAUGACGGCCUUCGGGUUGUAAACCUCUUUUAGCAGGGAAGAAGCGAAAGUGACGGUACCUGCAGAAAAAGCGCCGGCUAACUACGUGCCAGCAGCCGCGGUAAUACG